AGAGUUUGAUCCUGGCUCAAGACGAUCGCUGGCGGCAUGCCUAAUACAUGCAAGUCGAACGCUGAAGCACUCUGCUUGCAGAGUGCGGAUGAGUGGCGAGCGGGUGAGUAACACGUGGGAAAUCUGCCUAGGAGUGGGGGAUAACAUUCGGAAACGGAUGCUAAUACCGCAUAUCUUUUUGAACCGCAUGGUUCUUAAACGAAAGACGGCUUCGGCUGUCGCUCUUAGACGAUCCCGCGGCGUAUUAGUUAGUUGGGGGGGUAAAGGCCUACCAAGACCAUGAUACGUAGCCGACCUGAGAGGGUGAUCGGCCACACUGGGACUGAGACACGGCCCAAACUCCUACGGGAGGCAGCAGUAGGGAAUCUUCCACAAUGGGUGAAAACCUGAUGGAGCAAUGCCGCGUGAAUGAAGAAGGUCUUCGGAUCGUAAAGUUCUGUUAUUAGAGAAGAACAAGUCAAGGAGUAACUGCCUUGACUUUGACGGUACCUAACCAGAAAGUCACGGCUAACUACGUGCCAGCAGCCGCGGUAAUACGUAAGGUGACAAGCGUUGUCCGGAAUUAUUGGGCGUAAAGGGAGCGCAGGCGGUUGGAAUAGUCUGAUGUGAAAGCCCACGGUUUAACCGGGGAAGGUCAUUGGAAACUGUCCCACUUGAAUACAAAAGAGGAAGGUGGAAUUCCAAGUGUAGCGGUGAAAUGCGUAAAUAUUUGGAAGAACACCAGUGGCGAAGGGUACUUUCUGGUUCUGUAUUUGACCCUGAAGGUUCGAAGGGGGGGGGUAAGCAAAAAG
rnacentral:rRNA from 1 species